AGUGAUUUUGUUGCAUUACUAAUAGCACCUUCUUAAAUAGGAAUGGAUGGAUCUGAGCAUGGGCAUAUUUUGUAGAUGCACUUAACAUGCAAGUAUUUUAGAGGAUCGGAUAAUGCGCUUCUGUUUGUGUGGACUGAUAGGCUUGUGUAAUUUCUGAAGUAGAAUUGAAAUUUGAGAGUUUCCCGAAACUCCUUGUUAAAACUUUACCAUUAGGAGGUGUACUAUUGACCUUCUGUUUGUGCUUUUCUGCAUUUUUUUUUUGUACAUUACAGGCUCACGAGAAUUGGGAAGCUAAAUUUGCAAAACUGUGAUUAAGACGGCAUCCCACAGUUCCCUAGGAGAAAGAUUGAAUCAUACUUGAAGAGAAAGAUAAAUCAACUUCAGGGAUGUUUGCCGAAUCAUUUCCAUUUUCGCAUGGGGUUGUUUUGAGUGUCAUUCUUGAGCCUGAACAUGUGCUUUUCCUAUUUUGACAUAUCUGGGCAGUACUAGGGAUGGACUUAGCACAGUGAGGUACGUGUGAGGGGAAAUGGUAUGAAUUUGUUGGAACUGUCUACUACAUAUGGAUUCGUGUGAGAUACAUCUGGUUCAUUUGAAUGAUAAUUUAGUGAAAGUUGUAUGA